ACGCUUCACGGCGUCGCCAGAGGAUGAGUCCGCGGCCCAUUAGCUAGUUGGUGAGAUAAUAGCCCACCAAGGCUGUGAUGGGUAGCCGAGCUGAGAGGUUGAUCGGCCACACUGGGACUGAGACACGGCCCAGACACCUACGGGUGGCAGCAGUAGGGAAUAUUGGACAAUGGGCGAAAGCCUGAUCCAGCAAUGCCGCGUGAGUGACGAAGGAUUUCGGUCUGUAAAGCUCUUUUGUGAGGGAAGAAAUGACGCGUGAGGAAAUGCUCGCGUCUUGACGGUACCUCAUGAAUAAGGGACGGCUAACUCCGUGCCAGCAGCCGCGGUAAUACGGAGGUCCCAAGCGUUGUUCGGAAUUACUGGGCGUAAAGGGAGCGCAGGCGGAUAGUUAAGUCUAAAGUGGAAGCCCGGGGCUCAACCUCGGAACUGCUUCGGAUACUGGCUAUCUUGAGUUCGUGAGAGGAAAGCGGAAUUCAGGGUGUAGCGGUGAAAUGCUUAGAUAUCCUGAGGAAC
rnacentral:rRNA from 1 species